CCUACGGGAGGCAGCAGUGAGGAAUAUUGGUCAAUGGCCGAGAGGCUGAACCAGCCAAGUCGCGUGAGGGAAGACGGCCCUACGGGUUGUAAACCUCUUUCGUCGGGGAGCAAAGCGAACCACGUGUGCUUCAUUGAGAGUACCCGAAGAACAAGCAUCGGCCAACUCCGUUCCAGCAGCCGCGGGAAUACGGAGGAUCCAAGCGUUAUCCGGAUUUAUUGGGUUUAAAGGGUGCGUAGGCGGAUUGAUAAGUUAGAGGUGAAAUGGCCGAGCUUAACUCGGGAACUGCCUCUAAUACUGUUGAUCUAGAGAGUAGAUGCGGUAGGCGGAAUGUAUGGUGUAGCGGUGAAAUGCUUAGAGAGCAUACAGAACACCGAUUGCGAAGGCAGCUUACCAAUCUAUAUCUGACGUUGAGGCACGAAAGCGUGGGGAGCAAACAGGAUUAGAUACCCCUGUAGUC
rnacentral:rRNA from 1 species